CUAAGACGAAGUAGCCAAGUAGCUCGCGCAUGAACGUUAUAAGCAAGUCCGCCCAACGGUUGUAGUGGUGUGUGCUACUAGACGUCUAUGAAGACAACCCUGUCCCACUCCAUGGAUUAGUAAAAAUAAAUAGACACCAUCUAAUGACUUCAACUCCUGAGUGGAAAUAAAUGGAAGUGCUCCUGGAGGACCUACCCUAUCAGGAUGUUUGACAUCUCUGAAUUCCUGGUGACCUGGUAUGUGGCUGAAGUAAGGCCACUAAAGCCUCUUCUGGCACAGCCCCUUUCCUUCUCCUCCGUUAUUGAGACAGCCAAGAAGAUGAUUGUUACCACUCCCAUCAGCACCCAGGAGAAGAUGAUGCUAAAUCCGACGCCACUGUGGAGAAGGACAGACAGGCCCUCAGUUUCAAGCUUCAGGCUGCUUUGUGCUGAUUUUACUGGAAGACCUAACUGGACUGGACAACCUGUUACAUCUUGAGAGCAUUUGACCAGCAUCGUCCAGCUUCCCCAGGUGUCGCAGAUCAGAGUUCACCUUUGUUCAUCUUUGACUGAGCGGAUGUGCUCAGGUGGCCAAUAGGAACACUGCUGCAGCUGUGUUUCUGCUCUCUGUCUUAACCACCUUUGACCCCCUUUUCCACCCAGAGGGCAGACAGAGG